GUUUGUAGGGGGAGGGAAGUGGCAUGGCUGGUAGUAUGGUAAUAGCAGCCCAUACUGCUAGUCAUGCCGCUUACCUCCCCCUACAUAAGGCCA
rnacentral:pre_miRNA from 1 species